AUGCCUUAAACUGAUGAGUAAGGAAAAUAACGAUGCGGGGUGACGCCCGUAUCCUCGUUCAUAAUACGAGAGGAAUUUUUGAAAGGGCAGAGGUCUGCUUGCUGAGGUGACUUGCCUACUUUGCGAGAUGCCUCGCAAGACCAGGACCUUCCCC
ensembl:snRNA U12 U12 minor spliceosomal RNA